GGUAACCUGCUCACUCCAGUCUUUUCCCACACUGUGAAAGCUUUGUUCUUUGGCUCUUUGCAGUAAAUCUUGCUGCUGCUCAGUCUUUGGGUUUCCACUGCUUUUAUGAGCUGGAACACUCACUUCAAAAGUCUGCAGUUCUACUCUUGAAGCCAGCCAGACCACUAACCCACCAGAAGAAAGAAAUUGUGAAACCGUCCAAACGUCAGAAGGAACAAACUCUGGACGCACUGUCUUUAAGAACUGUAACACUCACCACGAGGGUCCAUGGCUUUGUUCUUGAAGUCAGUGAGACCAAGAACCCACCAAUUACACCAAGAUAGCCACCAAAACAAGACACACAGACCUUGCACCCAGAUAUAACAUACCUGCAAUCAAGUAUCUCCAGUGUCUGGCUGAACUAAUUUUAGCCCAAGAAUCCACUGUGUAACCAUCACCCAGAUCAAGACAUAGUGUAUUUCCAGCACCCAGAAGUUUCCAUCGGGCCUCUCUCCCAUCGCUGACCCAAGUCACUCUCCUGUCACUGCCAAGCUGACCACUAUUCUAACUUCUAUCACCACUGAUUAAUUUUACCUAAUUUUGAACUGCAUUUAAAUGGUGCUUUUUU
rnacentral:lncRNA from 1 species